AGUGAACGCUGGCGGUAGGCCUAACACAUGCAAGUCGAACGGCAGCACAGUAAGAGCUUGCUCUUACGGGUGGCGAGUGGCGGACGGGUGAGGAAUACAUCGGAAUCUACUUUUUCGUGGGGGAUAACGUAGGGAAACUUACGCUAAUACCGCAUACGACCUACGGGUGAAAGCAGGGGAUCCUCGGACCUUGCGCGAUUGAAUGAGCCGAUGUCGGAUUAGCUAGUUGGCGGGGUAAAGGCCCACCAAGGCGACGAUCCGUAGCUGGUCUGAGAGGAUGAUAGGCCACACUGGAACUGAGACACGGUCCAGACUCCUACGGGAGGCAGCAGUGGGGAAUAUUGGACAAUGGGCGCAAGCCUGAUCCAGCCAUACCGCGUGGGUGAAGAAGGCCUUCGGGUUGUAAAGCCCUUUUGUUGGGAAAGAAAAGCAGCAGGUUAAUACCCCGCUGUUCUGACGGUACCCAAAGAAUAAGCACCGGCUAACUUCGUG
rnacentral:rRNA from 1 species